rnacentral:misc_RNA from 1 species
GUGAAUCAUCGAAUCUUUGAACGCACAUUGCGCCUGUUGGAAGUCCGAUAGGCAUGCUUGUUUGAGAACCGUUAAACUCCCUCGCGCUGCGCUUGCUGGAAACGUGGUGGGUUUUGGUCUUCGGACUGGACCGCCGCUUUUAAGCGAGUGUUGGCGUGGACUUGGGCUUUCCGUCGGUCUUAAGUGCACUGACUGUGGCUUGAAAUUCACAAGUUGUCGGGACGCUUCGUGUCGCGAAACGAUGUGCUGAUGUGGGCUUGCUGUUGCGUCUUACUAGCGGCCUCGGCUGCGAAACGACGC